CCUACGGGUGGCAGCAGUGAGGAAUAUUGGUCAAUGGCCGGAAGGCUGAACCAGCCAUGCCGCGUGAAGGUCAGUGCCCUAUGGGCUUUAAACUUCUUUUGUUCGGGAGCAAUAAUGGUCACGUGUUGCCAGACUAGAGUACCGUCCGAAUAAGCAUCCGCUAACUCCGUUCCAGAAGCCACGGUAAUACGGAGGAUACGAGCGUUACCCGGAUUUAUUGGGUUUAAAGGGAGCGUAGAUGGGUUGUUAAGUCAGUUGUGAAAGUGUGCGGCUCAACCGUAGAAUUGCAGUUGAGACUGGCAGUCUUGAGUGCGGUGGAGGUAGGCGGAAUUCGUGGUGUAGCGGUGAAAUGCUUAGAUAUCACGAAGAACCCCGAUUGCGAAGGCAGCUUACUAAACUGUGACUGACAUUGAUGCUCGAAAGUGUGGGUAUCAAACAGGAUUAGAUACCCCUGUAGUC
rnacentral:rRNA from 1 species